rnacentral:rRNA from 1 species
GAUUCUUCCGCAGUGAUACUUAUUGAAGCCUUUGCAAUCUCGCAAGAGGGUGUUCUAGCGACUCUAAAUAAUCAGAGCUUAGUGCAAGUCAGUUUAUUUCUGGCAACACUUUCGAAUUGACGGGGACGCCCUAAAGCCUAUGACACCAACCUAUGAGGGAAACCUACGUAGGGGCACAUGCGAAAGACAUGUGGUAUGGUAAAAGAGCAUAGGAUAACGUUCUAAUUAGAAUACUAUGGGUAAUCCGCAGCGAAGCCUCUAAGUCUUUCGAGAUAUGAGGAACGUUCACAGACUAAGUGGAAGUGGGUGGGGCUUUGUCCUGCUUAAGAUAUAGUCGGGCCUCUGGGGAAACUCAGAGGGUAAAUCACUGCUGUUGAUACUGCUCUAUAGUACAACAUCUAGUCCUAGUCUUGAGUGAAGAUGUUGCAUAGGGGUUAGGAGCUGUAAAGUUCUAACUUCUUACGAGCUGAUCAACUUUGACAAAACGUUCCGUAGGUGAACCUGCGGAAGGAUCAUCAUUGAAUUUCCGGCUUAAUGCCGGUUGAGUGCACACUCACGCCGCCUUACGGUGGCUACUCUCAAACCCAAACUAGUCAGUGAAUGUGAAUUUGUAUAACAAAUACAACUUUCAACAACGGAUCUCUUGGCUCUCGCAUCGAUGAAGAACGCGGCGAAAUGCGAUAAGUAAUGUGAAUUGCAGAUUUCAGUGAAUCAUCGAGUCUUUGAACGCACCUUGCGCUCCUAGGUCUUCCGAGGAGCAUGCCUGUUUGAGUGCCCAGAAUCAAUCUCAACUUAACACUUUGUGUUUAAGUUGGACCUGGAGGUCUGCCGUCGAUUGUUCACGGCUCCUUCUAAAUAUAUUAGCUGCUUGGUGAUUACACCGUUAGCUUGAUAUCAUGUCUAUGCUGCGGUUGAAUUAUUCCAGUGCUUCUAAUCGUCUUACGACAUAUUCUGAGCUCGGGCCUCAAAUCAGGUAGGAUUACCCGCUGACUUAAG